UGAAUAGCAGCUCCAGAAGUUCUUCUCCAGCUAAGGUGACAGAUGAGGGCAAGGUAAGUUCUGUAGUUACUGUGAAUCAUGUGGUCGUGCAGGAACAUGUAGCUUUCCUACAGUACUUGCUCUUUGCUUUAUCCUUCUUUGUGUUCUAUUUGUACUAUCCCAUUUGUUUUUUAAAAAGCAAACUGUUCCCCAAGAACCUGAGACCCCCUCAAUUUCCACCAUUACUUCUUUGACUGAGCAUCCAGUUGGAGUAAGUACUUAGAGGUUGAGAACUGAAUUGGGUUUUAUUCUGUGCAUUUCUGGGAAGGAUAUUCAUAGCAUGACACUGAUCUUGUUUGCUUUAAAACUGCAUGCAAUAUUGAGCUUACUUUUCUCCUUAACUUGGGAAUGUUGCUUAAGUGUGUACAACUAUAAUGAACUACAGAAUGUGAAAAGUUAUCACUAUAUGUGGUGUUUUGUGUUGAAUGUUCUAAGGCAAAGUAAAUUCAUUAUAAAUUAUAUAAUUCAUCAUUUUUAUUUUUGUUUGGAAGAAUGCUAUUUAAGAAUUCCUCCAUUGUGCAAACCCUAUUUUGAGUGAUUUGAAUUAGAUUGGUAUCAGAUUUUCUGAAAGUGAAAUACUGUUUCAGUGAAACAAUGAUAAUCUGAAAUGACCUCUUGAGCCAGUCCCAAGCAAUGGUCUCAUUUGUUCACAUAAGUGCAUUCUCUUGUAACUGUGUUGCUAUUAUAUCUGGUAGGUCUUCUGCAGCUCUAUAAUAAAAUAAAUUUUUAAUUGUUUAGUUUCAAACCCACUACUCAUAGGAAAUGAUAAAUCAAUAUCUCAAAUGGUGUACAGUAAAUGAAAGUAAAUAUUAAAGCCUUGUCUUCCUUGGAAAUUUGUGUAUAUAGCACUGUGUUGGAAAAUACUUCUCAAGUUCCAGUGUAUAUAUAUUCCAGGAAUAUACAUCUCUGGAGAAAUCUAAGGGCAGCUUAGAUAAGACCCCAAACCCCUUUGUAGUAGAAGAUUUAAAAGAGAGCAAAGACCCGUUGUUAGAGAGGAGUAGAGGUGGGAAAAGCAUGGCUUGGAGGCAAACCUUGGGAUUGAGUUCCUUUAAUAUGCAGUGUGGCCUUCAACAAAUUAUGAUAUUCCAUUUGCUUUUGUUCCCUUUUAUUUAAAACAAGACAGUCUACUUAAAGAUCUCAGAGGUUGAAUAAUAUAUGAAAGACUUACUGAAGAUACUCUGAAUAGUAGCUAUUAUUACAUGGGUAGAGAAUGGAUUUUUCAUUUUAUUCUGUUCAUUCUUAAUAUGUAAGUAAUGAGCUAUUGUGAUGAAAGGGAAGUGAUGGGGAGGGGGGACUCCCUUUGAAAUAGAUUGUAGUGAAUACAGCAUGACAUACUGGUCAGAAAUCACCUCUGUAAAUAACCUCUGCCAGUCCUCUUGCCUUUCCCUUUCCUGUGCAGAUAUAAUCAGUAACAAACUGCUCCCUCUUGUGGCAUCCUUCUAACUUCUGUAAGCUGUCAGUGGGAAUACACAGGAGGGGUGGGGAGAGUUUUGUUGCACUGAUGGUGUUCUCUGGACAGGUGCUUGUUUUGGGUUUUAGCUUUUAUCGGUGUUGGUACUUUGUCUUAAUACAUAGGAAUUUUAAAACUUUUAACUGCUUUCAAAUCUUAAAUUGCAGGUUAAUAUGGCUAUGAAAGGGCCCCCUCCUUUCUCAGGGGUACCCUUCAUGGGCCCCCCGAUGGGACCCCCUAUAGGACGGCCUCCAUCACCUCCCAUUCGGCAUGGACCGCCACUUCAGCUCGAUGGGCCUUUUGGGCCUUGGCCAAUUCCUCCACCAUUUGGUAUGAUGAUCUGAACAGUAGUGAUUGACUUAUAAAUCACAUUCAUCUUUCAUUUCUAUUGCUUGCUAAAACAGUUGGUUGCUAUCUCAAUUCUUAACAAUGAAAGGAUAAAGCUGAGUACAUUUUAACUUUUCCUCCAGUUUUCUGGGACAUAUGGGACACUACAUAAUCUUAUACUGAGAUAGGCAAUAACUAUCUCUCAUAGACAAGGAUAAGGGGCUAUAUACAGAAAAGCAAGAAAUAUUACUUCUGCAGAUGUUUGUUGAAAAUCUGUUGAUAUGCACUGCAAUAGAUGGAAAGGUGGAUGAGACACAUGCCAUAACUUAAAAUUUUGUCACAGAUAUGAAAAUCCUAUAACAUAAAGUUUGUAAUCACCCAUAAUGGAAGCAUAAGCAGUAGGUUAUAGAAUAUAGAAAAGAAAAAGUCAAACCCUCCUUACCUUAAGAAAAGUCAGAGGGAAGUGUUAAAGAGGAGGAUUUAACAGUGACCUAAUAAAUGUUGCUGAUUUAAUUAGGUGGCUGUGGAAGGCCUUUUCCAGGAGGGCAUGCACCUUGAUUCUGAUGGCAUGUGUAAAGUCCAUGCUGAAAUACUUCAUGAAUUUUUAAUGGAUACAGUAAUAAAUAGUGGGAUUUCCUUUUAUCAAAAUUUAUUUGAUGUAGUAAAGUUCUUAUUUCAUAAUCUAUCAUCUUGUCAUGGUAAUAUAGUACUUCCAAAUAUAAAUGGAGCUCUUGUGAGAUAGAAAUAAUUUUGCAAUUAUAUAGUAGGGAAAGAAAAAAGACAAGCCUGGAGCUAGGUAGAGCCAUGUUUAAAUCCUUAAUAUGUUGCUUCAUGGAUGGUUGGCCAAAGGCUAUAACCUAAACUUGUUCCAUCUCAGUUUGCCUCAUCUGGCAAGUCAGGAUGUUCACCAGUUGAUGUUCUAGGCUUGGGAGAAAUUAAAGACUAUAUUAACAUACUUGAAAUCACCCUAGUUCAGAAAUUUCUGGGUAUUUACAUAACUUCCUUUUUAUUUUCCAGGUCCUGGUAUUCGUCCACCAAUAGGCUUCAGAGCAUAUGCACCAGGUGUUCCACCUGGAAAACGGGAUUUGCCUUUUGACCCUCGUGAUUUUUUUCCAGGACCCGCACCAUUUAGACCUUUAGGCUCAUUUGGCCCAAGAGAGCACUUCAUUCCUGGUGCCCCAUUACCACCUCCAACUCAUGGUCCCCAAGACUAUGGGCCACCACCUGUUGCAAAAGACUUAAUUAAGCCUUCAGGCUUUAAAGAUGAACCUCCACCUACACCUGAUUCUCAGAGUAGUGAGGGCUAUUCACAGGCCUUAAAACUGGGCCCAUAAAAUUAACCUCUGACACUUAGUCAGAAAGUGGAUUAUGAACUAUUCAUUGUGUUAAAGAAUUAUUGGCUUCAAAAUAUAAAAGUUAUUUUAAAUGGUUUAUGUUUUUAGAAUGAAGCUGCCUUGGCGCAGUACACAUUUUGAGCCAAAAUAUUUUCCCCCUAAAUAUCCCCCACUUAAGCUAGAGUAUCCUUCCAACUUUAAAACGUGCAAUAAGGAAUACCUUUGUCUUAGUUAAUGUAGCAUAUACAAUUGCUAAAUGAUUUAGAAUGUCAUAAUUAUGGACAUUUCCUGUGGAAAUGCUUUAAGAACAUGUAUUUCCAUUAUCCUAUUUUUAGUGUAUUCCAGUUGAUACAGAGAAAUGGUGUUUUAUAAGCUUGAUUUUUCUCUUCUAAUAUCUGGUCACAGAGACUGUUACGCU
rnacentral:lncRNA from 1 species